AGCGAACGCUGGCGGCAGGCUUAACACAUGCAAGUCGAGCGGGCGUAGCAAUACGUCAGCGGCAGACGGGUGAGUAACGCGUGGGAACAUACCUUUUGGUUCGGAACAACACAGGGAAACUUGUGCUAAUACCGGAUAAGCCCUUACGGGGAAAGAUUUAUCGCCGAAAGAUUGGCCCGCGUCUGAUUAGCUAGUUGGUGAGGUAACGGCUCACCAAGGCGACGAUCAGUAGCNGGUCUGAGAGGAUGAUCAGCCACAUUGGGACUGAGACACGGCCCAAACUCCUACGGGAGGCAGCAGUGGGGAAUAUUGGACAAUGGGCGCAAGCCUGAUCCAGCCAUGCCGCGUGAGUGAUGAAGGCCCUAGGGUUGUAAAGCCCUUUCGGCGGGGAAGAUAAUGACGGUACCCGCAGAAGAAGCCCCGGCUAACUUCGUGCCAGCCGCCGCCGU
rnacentral:rRNA from 1 species